ACGCUCGACACCUACGGUAGGCAGCAGUGAGGAAUAUUGGUCAAUGGACGCAAGUCUGAACCAGCCAUGCCGCGUGCAGGAUGACGGCUCUAUGAGUUGUAAACUGCUUUUGUACGAGGGUAAACGCAGAUACGUGUAUCUGUCUGAAAGUAUCGUACGAAUAAGGAUCGGCUAACUCCGUGUCAGCAGCCGCGGUAAUCUGAGCGGGCUGGCAAGGC
rnacentral:rRNA from 1 species